rnacentral:lncRNA from 1 species
GUAAUAUGGUCAGCUGAUCAAAAGUUAUGGUAAUACAUACUAGAAGAUCAGUGAAUACUCUUCGAAAGUGAUCAACCUAAAAUGUUCUUUUUUGUUAUUGGUGCAUAAGCUACGAAAUAUAUAGCAAAUAAAAUAUGAUUUUUGUGUUGUUAAGUCAUUAAUUAUAAUGAAAUUAGAAUUCACUUUUAGCAGGCAAUCUCACUGGUUCUAUUUUGUUAAAUAUGCUGAG